UGCUGCCACGAGAAGAAGGAUGUGUUUGCUUCCCCUUUUGCCACGACCGACCGACCAUAAGUUUCCUGAGGCCACCCCAGACCUGCAGAAUUGCCGUGCCCACCUGCUGCUGCUUGGGUCCUGUGCACAAGCUGUUCCCGCUGCCUCCAAUACUCAUCCCCUCGACUUCUAUGGAGCUGACUCUUCACCUUCCAGCCUUGGCUCAAAUGUCACCUUCACAGUAAAGGCUACCCAUGGCUGGGUGUGUGGUUGUGCAGGAUCUGCCCCUUCCAAAGGGCCAGAAUGGAAAAAUGAACUCACUUCUGUUCUCUACUACACUAAAACAAUGCUUAGCACAUAACCAGGACCUGGCACCUAUUUGUUAAAUGAAUGAAUGAAUGAAUGACUAAAUAAAUGAAAAAAAAAAAAAAAAAACAAAUGAACUCACAGUUUGGAAGCCAAGAGACAGAAGAGCCUUUGGACCUAAUAUAUAUUUAUUUUCUAUCUUAUGCUUGAGUGACACCUCCUAGAACUAUUGAUGCUAGAGUUGUCCAGAGUAUAUCGGUAGGAUAGAGCGGCUGGAUAAGGAAGAGCGGAAACUAAUAAAAAGCUCUCAUCAAGCCCUCCACUUUUU
rnacentral:lncRNA from 10 species